rnacentral:tRNA from 1 species
GGCCCCGUAGUGUAGCGGUCUAACACGCCACCCUGUCACGGUGGAGAGCGUCGGUUCGAAUCCGAUCGGGGUCGCCA